GACGAACGCUGGCGGCGUGCCUAAUACAUGCAAGUCGAGCGGACGAAUCGAAAGCUUGCUUUUGUUUCGUUAGCGGCGGACGGGUGAGUAACACGUGGGCAACCUGCUCUGUAGACGGGGAUAACACCGAGAAAUCGGUGCCAAUACCGGAUAACACGAAAUGUCGCAUGACGUUUCGUUGAAAGACGGCGCACGCUGUCGCUACAGGAUGGGCCCGCGGCGCAUUAGCUAGUUGGUGAGGUAACGGCUCACCAAGGCGACGAUGCGUAGCCGACCUGAGAGGGUGAUCGGCCACACUGGAACUGAGACACGGCCCAGACUCCUACGGGAGGCAGCAGUAGGGAAUCUUCCGCAAUGGACGAAAGUCUGACGGAGCAACGCCGCGUGAGCGAAGAAGGCCUUCGGGUCGUAAAGCUCUGUUGUUAGGGAAGAACAAGUAACGCAGUAACUGGCGUUACCGUGACGGUACCUAACGAGAAAGCCACGGCUAACUACGUG
rnacentral:rRNA from 1 species